rnacentral:rRNA from 1 species
AUACGGAGGAUCCGAGCGUUAUCCGGAUUUAUUGGGUUUAAAGGGAGCGUAGGCGGACGCUUAAGUCAGUUGUGAAAGUUUGCGGCUCAACCGUAAAAUUGCAGUUGAUACUGGGUGUCUUGAGUACAGUAGAGGCAGGCGGAAUUCGUGGUGUAGCGGUGAAAUGCUUAGAUAUCACGAAGAACUCCGAUUGCGAAGGCGGCCUGCUGGACUGUAACUGACGCUGAUGCUCGAAAGUGUGGGUAUCAAACAGGAUUAGAUACCCUGGUAGUCCACACAGUAAACGAUGAAUACUCGCUGUUUGCGAUAUACAGUAAGCGGCCAAGCGAAAGCGUUAAGUAUUCCACCUGGGGAGUACGCCGGCAACGGUGAAACUCAAAUGAAUUGACGGGG